UGAAUAUUUUUCUUCUCUCCAGCUGUUGCAUUUAUCGAGUAACUAGAUGGUCAUGACUUGGCUGAUCCAUUCCUUAAUCAAAUUUGGAAAGCAACAAGCAUUUGAUAAAUUGCUAGUUAAAAUUUUGAAAAUUAUGGCUAUCGAUUUCUAUUGAAGAAGACCUAAAAACUUCCAAUGAAUAUGGAUGUGCAUAUCUUCACAGCUGUGUAUAUGCUUGCGCACGCGUGUGUAAUGUGUAACCUCAUUGUUUGCUUGUGAUAAGGUUUGCCCGUGCUGUAUAUGAUUGUGUGAUAAGGUAAUUAUUGAUAAUGUGCAUUUGAUACCUCGGUACUUCUGGCAAUGAUUUGACUGUAGAAAUCACACGGUACAGUAGUAGUUUGUACAGUAGUUGCACAGCAUUAUGUGUUUGUGAUCAUGUUGGAGUGCCAGAUGUAAAAACAACUAGCUUGAAAGCAUAAAGCAAAGCAUCUAUCCCACCAUCCAACAACUUCUAAGUUUCGCAGUCUUUGUGAGGGUUCAAUUUAAUAUUAAUUUCGGUACUAGGAUUUUACUGCAUGCAGGAGCUAGAUUCCUUUUGACCGACUCUAUAGAAGAAAAUUCAUUUUUGACUAAAUUUCUUGAUGGAAUUCCUGUAUUGAGGGAAUAUUCAUGUCACCAACAUGAUUACUUGCAAGCUCACAAUUACUAUGCCGUGCAUAUUCAUGUCACCAACUAGGGAAGGCAUAUCACCUGAGACACAAGGAGGAAUACGUUCCUGAUUUCUUGCAUUUUCCUUUCAUGGUUGCAUGAGUGGCAAAAUUUUUUAACAUCAGCUUUAUGAUACAUUUUCUUGGAUUCUUGUUAGGAUGAGUGUUUUUGAUGCGUACACCUCCCAAAAUACACUAAAAUUAGAUUUCAAUGGUUUGCAACUUGACCCAACAAGAAUCUAUCUUGGAGAACCAAAGUUAUUCACAAUAAUCACCCUCACCUUAUGCCUAUAAGAGACGUGAACGAGUAGUAUAAAAACACAACAAAA